UGUAACCCGGAAGUUAAACUUCACAACAACAAAAUUGUCGGGAAAUCUGCUCCGUGAAACCAUCUCAGGCAGCCAAUGGACUUUUUAUUUCAAUUGAGUAAAUAGUGCGUUUGUCUUGAGACUUGUGUAGAACCACAGUGUCUCUCAACGUGGGUUUAACAUGGACGAUUAUGACGAACUGUUCGAAAUCCAAGAUGAGUUCGAGGACCAGUUCGCAGACGAGCUGGAGGUUCUGGCUCAGAUGGAGGGGGAGUCCCCAACACACUUAAACUUGAACUUAAGGAGGUGGACUUUGAGCUGGAGUCUCUGAUGGAGAGGAAGGAGGAGGAGCGGGAGGAGCUGAUGGACUGGUGGAAGAUGAUGUCAGAGACACUGAACUUCUGAAGCGCUCGUCUGCUUCGCGAUUGGACCGUUCACACGUCGAGAUAUCUUGCACAGACACACAGGAGGAGAAUUUGCAGGCAGUGUGACAGCAAUGGGAUUGGUGUGGAUUUCUGUGGUGUUUCGUUCAUUAUCGUACACGUGAUUGAAAACCAUAGCACCCAUCUAUACACUGUGUGCACAAUUAUUAUGCAAGUUGUAUUUUGGAGGAUUGGUUUUAUUAUUGAACAACUACAGUGCUC